GAUGAACGCGGCGGCGUGCUUAACACAUGCAAGUCGAACGAAGCACUGGAAAGGAAUCCCUUCGGGGAGGACAUUCCUUUGACUGAGUGGCGGACGGGUGAGUAACGCGUGGGCAACCUGCCCCACACUGGGGGACAACAGCUGGAAACGGCUGCUAAUACCGCAUAAGCGCACAGCUUCGCAUGAAGCAGUGUGAAAAAUUCCGGUGGUGUGGGAUGGGCCCGCGUCUGAUUAGCUAGUUGGUGAGGUAACGGCUCACCAAGGCGACGAUCAGUAGCCGGCCUGAGAGGGUGGACGGCCACAUUGGGACUGAGACACGGCCCAGACUCCUACGGGAGGCAGCAGUGGGGAAUAUUGCACAAUGGGGGAAACCCUGAUGCAGCGACGCCGCGUGAGCGAAGAAGUAUUUCGGUAUGUAAAGCUCUAUCAGCAGGGAAGAAAA
rnacentral:rRNA from 1 species